UAGAGACAAACUCAUGAUGACUGCAUCGUCGCUGUUGGCUGCCUUCGUGGUGGUGACCCGUGCUGCUCUUCUGCCAUUCUCUGCUGCUCAAGACAGCUGCAGUGCUAGAUGUGGUGAGCCAUUUGCUCGUGGCCAGCCCUGCUAGUGUGACGCCAGCUGCCUCCCUCAUGACGAGUGCUGCAAGGACUUUGAGGCUCUCUGCACUUCCGAUGCCACUCCAAUUCCAACACCAACCCAGAGGAUCAAGCAGGAUGCCAAGAAAAAGCCAACAGGCUCAGGUAUCGUCUUUGUAGCAAAGUAAGAGCUUGUGUACCCUGAUUAU